rfam:Manacus vitellinus contig28660, whole genome shotgun sequence.
ACCAGGAUGGCCGAGUGGUGAAGGCGUUGGACUUAAGAUCCAAUGGGCACACGCCCGCGUGGGUUCGAACCCCACUUCUGGUA